rnacentral:lncRNA from 1 species
UGGACUUGCAGGGAGUUUACAGCUGUCAUUGCUGAUAAAAUAAGGAAGAGCAAAGGUCUAAUAAUUCUCAGCCAACAUAGUCAGAAUUUCACUUUGGAAUGGUGCAAGAGAUUCUUCUGAGAAACAUACUGACACCUUGCAUCUGGACUUCGCCUCUUACAUCGCCUUCUUCUCGCUCAGGCCAGUUUCUAAAGAAAAAUUUGGAGAUCAUCGAAGAGUUCAAAAAAGAGAGAUCCGUCCGAAUGCCAGCAAGUCGCACAAACUUACCCAAAUCUUGCUGGAGCUUUUCAAAAGUCGUAGAGAAAAUCAGCAGAGGAAAAGCUACGUUCACAUAUCCACUAAGUGAAUCAGAUGCGGGCCAUGUUCUUAACUUUGAGGAGCAGUGCGACUAUGGAAGUAAACUAAUCUGGAAAUCUUACAUGUCAAAUUCAAAAAUGAAGACAACAUGUGAGUUUCCCUGGAUAAGAGUGCACAUUUCCUGAUCUGUAACAUGACUUUCUGUCUUAAAAGAGAUUGGAAAGGUUUGGACACACUUGUUUGUUGGCUCUGCAUUUUGGAGGAAAGCUGAAAUCACCUCCCCAGAUACUGGAAUAUCUCUUAUGGUUGGCACACACAAAAAAAGGGAAAAAUCCACUCGGGAAAGUUAGAGAAAUCCCAACACAUUAUUUAUCAGGCAAUUUACAUGUACCCUUUUGAAAAAGAUCGACUCUGGUUAUUUUAUUACUUAUAAGACAUUUCUUCUAAGUGUCCACAACAUUUUUCCUUCUUACUUAGCUCUUCUUUCUCAGCUUCUUUACCUGGUUCUCAGAAGAAAUUGGGAGUGAUCUCCCUCCUUUGGACACCUCAUAGUAGAUUGCUGGAUGUCUUACUUGAUGAUACUGGCAUUGUCUUGAGGCUGAGUUCUGAAGCUUCAAACUUCAAACUUUGAUUUAAGCACCAAAACAGUUUGAGUCAGUAUGUGUGGCUUGGCCUCGAGGCGACAAUCACCAAAUCCUUCCUGCUUGUCAGGCACAGUUCUUUGUGCUUUACAAGUACUAACUCAUUUAAUCCUCAACAUUAAAUCCUCGUAACCUUCCCACGAGCUAGAUACCAUCAUUUUCCUAUUUCACAUAUGAGGAACAGAGAGUGAUUUGCCCAAAGUCACAGAGCUGGUAAAUGGCAAAGCCGUGAUAGAACCAGGAAGCCCGGGUCAGUCUGUCACCAACCACAACGCUCAAGUGUCUCAUCUCAAUCCAUUUCCCUAACUGGAAAAUUACAUUGAUUCCUUCUGUCUACCUCCGUCCCUUGACGUGUCCACUUGAAUAACUGAAUGUGAAGUCCAGGGGCUCUGCAUUCUCAAACCACUGCUUUCCUUGAGGUCCCUGGGAGAAGCCACCUGCUCGCCCGUGAAGCCUCAUGUACGCCCUGUCCAACAGGACAUAAUGGAGACCAAUACUCUGCUGGGCUACUAGGGGCAUGAAGGUGAGUUUUCUUGUUCAUUUA